GUCCUAGCCGUAAACGAUGGGCACUAGCUUGGGGUCUCCCUGUGUGAUCCCAGGUGAAGUAAAAAUGAUAAGUGCCCCGCCUGGGGAGUAUGGUCGCAAGGCUGAAACUCAAAAGGAAUUGACGGGGGCUCACACAAGCGGUGGAGCAUGUGGUUUAAUUCGAAGCAACGCGAAGAACCUUACCCAGGCUUGACAUGCAGGGGCUAGGCCGGUGAAAGCUGGCUGAUUACCUUCGGGUGUGACCUGCACAGGUGUUGCAUGGCUGUCGU
rnacentral:rRNA from 1 species